rnacentral:rRNA from 1 species
UACGAGGGGGGCAAAUGUUGUUCGGAAUCACUGGGCGUAAAGGGAGCGUAGGCGGGCUCUUAAGUUAGGUGUUUAAUCCCGGGGCCCAACCCCGGACAGGCACCUAAAACUGGGAGUCUUGAAUAGUGGAGAGGUCGGCGGAAUUGGGGGUGUAGCGGUGGAAUGCGUAGAUAUCUGGAGGAACACCGGUGGCGAAGGCGGCAUCCUGGACCGGUAUUGACGCUGAGGAGCGAAAGCCAGGGGAGCAAACGGG